rnacentral:SRP_RNA from 1 species
GCUGGCAUGGUGGUGCAUGCCUGUAGUCCCAGCUACUCAGGAGGCUGAGGUAGGGGGAUCACUUGAGCCCAGGAGGUCAGGGCUGCAGUGAGCUAUGAUGGCACCACUGCACUCUAGCCUGGGCAACAGAGUGAAACCCUGCCUCAA